UAGAGUUUGAUCCUGGCUCAGAUUGAACGCUGGCGGCAGGCUUAACACAUGCAAGUCGAGCGGGGAAAGGUAGCUUGCUACAUUUCCUAGCGGCGGACGGGUGAGUAAUGCUUAGGAAUCUGCCUAUUAGUGGGGGACAACAUUCCGAAAGGAAUGCUAAUACCGCAUACGCCCUACGGGGGAAAGCAGGGGAUCUUCGGACCUUGCGCUAAUAGAUGAGCCUAAGUCAGAUUAGCUAGUUGGUGGGGUAAAGGCCUACCAAGGCGACGAUCUGUAGCGGGUCUGAGAGGAUGAUCCGCCACACUGGGACUGAGACACGGCCCAGACUCCUACGGGAGGCAGCAGUGGGGAAUAUUGGACAAUGGGCGAAAGCCUGAUCCAGCCAUGCCGCGUGUGUGAAGAAGGCCUUUUGGUUGUAAAGCACUUUAAGCGAGGAGGAGGCUACCGUGAUUAAUACUCUAGGAUAGUGGACGUUACUCGCAGAAUAAGCACCGGCUAACUCUGUGCCAGCAGCCGCGGUAAUACAGAGGGUGCGAGCGUUAAUCGGAUUUACUGGGCGUAAAGCGUGCGUAGGCGGCUUCUUAAGUCGGAUGUGAAAUCCCUGAGCUUAACUUAGGAAUUGCAUUCGAUACUGGGAAGCUAGAGUAUGGGAGAGGAUGGUAGAAUUCCAGGUGUAGCGGUGAAAUGCGUAGAGAUCUGGAGGAAUACCGAUGGCGAAGGCAGCCAUCUGGCCUAAUACUGACGCUGAGGUACGAAAGCAUGGGGAGCAAACAGGAUUAGAUACCCUGGUAGUCCAUGCCGUAAACGAUGUCUACUAGCCGUUGGGGCCUUUGAGGCUUUAGUGGCGCAGCUAACGCGAUAAGUAGACCGCCUGGGGAAGUACGGUCGCAAGACUAAAACUCAAAUGAAUUGACGGGGGCCCGCACAAGCGGUGGAGCAUGUGGUUUAAUUCGAUGCAACGCGAAGAACCUUACCUGGUCUUGACAUAGUAA
rnacentral:rRNA from 1 species